rnacentral:rRNA from 1 species
CGGUUGAUCCUGCCGGACCCUACUACUAUCGGGAUAGGACUAAGACAUGCUAGUUGUGCGUCUCCUAGCUAUGAUAGAGACGCAGCGCACGGCUCAGUAACAUGUGGCCAACCUACCCUUAGGACAGGGAUAAACCCGGGAAACUGGGUCUAAUCCCUGAUAGGUGUGGGAUCCUGGAAUGGUCCCACACCCAAAAGGUGUCCAAAUCAUGCUUUGGACACCGCCUAAGGAUGGGGCCGCAUCCGAUCAGGUUGUUGGUGAGGUAACGGCUCACCAAGCCCAUAACCGGUACGGGCCGCGGGAGCGGUAGCCCGGAGAUGGACACUGAGAUAAGGGUCCAGGCCCUACGGGGCGCAGCAGUCGCGAAAACUCUGCAAUACACGAAAGUGUGACAGGGCUAUCCCGAGUGCCAUCCUCUGAGGAUGGCUUUUCCCCAGCGUAAGGAGCUGGAGGAAUAAGGAGAGGGCAAGUCUGGUGUCAGCCGCCGCGGUAAUACCAGCUCUCCGAGUGGUAGGGAUGCUUAUUGGGCCUAAAGCGUCCGUAGCCGGCUCAACAAGUCCCCCGUUAAAUCCAACGAUUUAAUCGUUGGACAGCGGGGGAUACUGUUGAGCUAGGAGUCGGGAGAAGCCGACGGUAUUCCCGGAGUAGGGGUGAAAUCCUAUAAUUCCGGGAGGACCACCAGUGGCGAAGGCGGUCGGCUAGAACGAGCUCGACGGUGAGGGACGAAAGCUGGGGGAGCGAACCGGAUUAGAUACCCGGGUAGUCCCAGCUGUAAACGAUGCGGGCUAGGUGUUAGGGUGGCUACGAGCCACUCUAGUGCCGCAGCGAAGGCAUUAAGCCCGCCGCCUGGGGAGUACGGCCGCAAGGCUGAAACUUAAAGGAAUUGGCGGGGGAGCAC